rnacentral:rRNA from 1 species
GACGAACGCUGGCGGCGUGCUUAACACAUGCAAGUCGAACGGUGAACCUCUUCGGAGGGGAUCAGUGGCGAACGGGUGAGUAACACGUGGGCAACCUGCCCCCGGCUCUGGGAUAACUCCAAGAAAUUGGGGCUAAUCCCGGAUGUUCACCGCUUCCCGCAUGGGUGGUGGUGGAAAGGGUUUCCGGCUGGGGAUGGGCCCGCGGCCUAUCAGCUUGUUGGUGGGGUAGUGGCCUACCAAGGCGACGACGGGUAGCCGGCCUGAGAGGGUGACCGGCCACACUGGGACUGAGAGACGGCCCAGACUCCUACGGGAGGCAGCAGUGGGGAAUAUUGCGCAAUGGGCGGAAGCCUGACGCAGCGACGCCGCGGGGGGGAUGACGGCCUUCGGGUUGUAAAACUCUGUCAGCAGGGACGAAGCGCAAGUGACGGUACCUGCAGAAGAAGCACCGGCCAACUACGUG